rnacentral:rRNA from 1 species
AUUGAACGCUGGCGGAAUGCUUUACACAUGCAAGUCGAACGGCAGCACGGGGGCAACCCUGGUGGCGAGUGGCGAACGGGUGAGUAAUACAUCGGAACGUGCCCGGUCGUGGGGGAUAACGUAGCGAAAGUUACGCUAAUACCGCAUACGAUCUGAGGAUGAAAGCGGGGGACCUUCGGGCCUCGCGCGAUCGGAGCGGCCGAUGUCAGAUUAGGUAGUUGGUGGGGUAAAGGCCUACCAAGCCGACGAUCUGUAGCUGGUCUGAGAGGACGACCAGCCACACUGGGACUGAGACACGGCCUAGACUCCUACGGGAGGCAGCAGCGGGGAAUUUUGGACAAUGGGCGCAAGCCUGAUCCAGCCAUUCCGCGUGCAGGACGAAGGCCUUCGGGUUGUAAACUGCUUUUGUAUGGAACGAAAAGGCUCUGGCUAAUACCUGGGGCUCAUGACGGUACCGUAAGAAUAAGCACCGGCUAACUACGUG